rnacentral:tRNA from 1 species
UGCUAUAGCUCAGUCGGUAGAGUAGCUGAUUCGUAAUCAGUUGGUCGCAAGUUCGAUUCUCGCUAGCAG